AACGUAGGAGACAAACGUUAUCCGGAUUUACUGGGCGUAAAGGGCGUGUAGGUGGUUUCGUAAGUCUGGCGUGAAAUUUCCCGGCUUAACCGGGAGUGGUCGUCGGAUACUGCGGGACUAGAGGACGGUAGAGGCGUGUGGAAUUCCGGGUGUAGUGGUGAAAUGCGUAGAGAUCCGGAGGAACACCAGUGGCGAAGGCGGCACGCUGGGCCGUACCUGACACUGAUGCGCGACAGCAUGGGGAGCAAACAGG
rnacentral:rRNA from 1 species